AAGAAUGUAGAACACAGUGAUUUAAGUCUUCAGUUGGCUUGUAUCACAUUAUGACGAAUUGUUCACAGAUGUAUAUAUCAAUCAUUAACGUCUUGGUGGUCAUCUUGUUGAUUUCUGUUGACCGAUCAGAAGAGUGUAAAGUUGGAGAAUAUCGGUUUAUUGGUCUCGCUGAUUGUUCCAAAUUCCAAAUCUGUGUAGAUGGUGAUGCGACUGUGUCGCGUUGUUCAACUGGAUUGCACUGGAGUGCGGAUCAGAAUACCUGUUUAACUCCGGAGACUGCCGGAUGCACAUCACAAAUAUCAGGCUCACCAGAUGAUUCUACAGAAUGUAUAGUAGGAGAAUAUGGAUUUAGACGUCAUGCUGACUGUGAUAAAUUUCAAGUGUGUAUAAAUGGUGUACUAACCGCCCAGAGUUGUUCAGAUGGAUUGCAUUGGAGUGAAAGUUAUAAUACUUGUUUAAGUCCGGAAAUAGCUAAAUGUUGUUGAAAAUAAUAUUGCCAUUAAAAAACCCGAUUUAAUCAACUACAACAUUU